CCUUCGGGUGGCAGCAGUGAGGAAUAUUGGUCAAUGGUCGGGAGACUGAACCAGCCAAGCCGCGUGAGGGAUGAAGGUACAGAGUAUCGUAAACCUCUUUUAUCAGGGAAUAAAGGCGGGCACGUGUCCCCGGAUUAGUGUACCUGAACAAAAAGCAUCGGCAAACUCGGUGACAUCAGCCGCGGUAAUACGGAGGAGGCGAGCGUUAUCCGGAUUUAUUGGGUGUAAAGGGUGGGCAGAGGGUCUGUUAAGCAAGCGGUAAAAGCCGGGGGUUCAACCCCGGUGCGCAGUUGAAACUGGAGGUCUUGAGUAGGAGAGAGGUAGGCGGAAUGCGUGGUGUAGCGGUGAAAUGCAUAGAUAUCGCGAAGAACUCCGAUUGCGAAGGCAGCAUGCCGGAUCCACACUGACGCUGAGGCACGAAAGCGUGGGUAUCGAACAGGAUUAGAUACCCUUGUAGUC
rnacentral:rRNA from 1 species